GUAGGUGGCAAGCGUUGUCCGGAAUCAUUGGGCGUAAAGCGCGCGCAGGGCGGUCCUUUAAGUCUGAUGUGAAAGCCCACGGCUCAACCGUGGAGGGUCAUUGGAAACUGGGGGACUUGAGUACAGAAGAGGAAAGCGGAAUUCCAAGUGUAGCGGUGAAAUGCGUAGAGAUUUGGAGGAACACCAGUGGCGAAGGCGGCUUUCUGGUCUGUAACUGACGCUGAGGCGCGAAAGCGUGGGGAGCAAACAGGAUUAGAUACCCUGGUAGUCCACGCCGUAAACGAUGAGUGCUAAGUGUUAGGGGGUUUCCGCCCCUUAGUGCUGCAGCUAACGCAUUAAGCACUCCGCCUGGGGAGUACGGCCGCAAGGCUG
rnacentral:rRNA from 1 species